GGGUCAGUAGGUUGGUCGUGCCACCGGUACGUACUGGUCUCACUGAUUCCUCCUUCCUGAAGAACCGUAAUGCCAUUAAUUUGGUGUUGCGGGGAAACAGGACUGUUACUUUGAAAAAAUUAGAGUGUUUAAAGCAAGCUAACGCUUGAAUACAUUAGCAUGGAACAAUGAAAUAGGACGAUCGAUCCCAUUUUGUUGGUUUCUAGGAUUGACGUA
rnacentral:rRNA from 1 species